UACGGAGGGUGCAAACGUUGUUCGGAAUCAUUGGGCGUAAAGCGCACGUAGGCGGCCUGUUAAGUCGGAUGUGAAAGCCCCGGGCUCAACCCGGGAAGUGCAUACGAAACUGGCAGGCUUGAAUAUGGAAGAGGGUCGCGGAAUUCCCGGUGUAGAGGUGAAAUUCGUAGAUAUCGGGAGGAACACCAGUGGCGAAGGCGGCGACCUGGGCCAAUAUUGACGCUGAGGUGCGAAAGCGUGGGGAGCAAACAGG
rnacentral:rRNA from 1 species